UACGUAGGGUGCAAGCGUUAAUCGGAAUUACUGGGCGUAAAGCGUGCGCAGGCGGUUCUAUAAGACAGAUGUGAAAUCCCCGGGCUCAACCUGGGAACUGCAUUUGUGACUGUAGAGCUGGAGUGCGGCAGAGGGGGGUGGAAUUCCGCGUGUAGCAGUGAAAUGCGUAGAGAUGCGGAGGAACACCGAUGGCGAAGGCAGCCCCCUGGGCCAAUACUGACGCUCAGGCACGAAAGCGUGGGGAGCAAACAGG
rnacentral:rRNA from 1 species